ensembl:lncRNA
AACCAACACCUAACCACCACCACCCUAACCAACACCACCCUCACCACCACCCUAACCACCACCCUAACCAACACCACCCUAACCACCACCCUAAACACCACCACGUGAUAUUGAACUAACCGCAGAAUUUCACUCCCAAAAUAACGCUGUACUCGCGCUACGAAUAGACAUCUCUUACUCUUACUUAAAUGUAGGCUCUCAAAUAACGGCCAUCAAUUGGUUGAUUACAAAUAUUAUGCAUGUCAGCUUCAAGUCAUGUUUUUUGCACAUUUAAUUCCCAGAAGAUCAAGAGUUUUGGAAUCUAAACGUGAGCAUAUUUGGCUUAGCUUGCCGGCAACAUCCGCCGUUUUAGUCGUCAUAAAAAAAAAAAGUAGAAAAAAUAUAUAUAUUUGUCUUUGUCAAAUAAAAUAUAAGGGGUAACACCGUCGUUUUUCAUCAAUCAUCAUGGGGAAAGAACAUAAGGGGUAACACUGUUGUUUUGAUCAAAUUAAACGUAACGGGUAACACUGUCGUUUUUUAUCUGUCGUCAUGAAAAAACCAUAAGGGGUAACACUGUCGAAAUGUAUCGAAUAAAACAUAAGGGGUAACAAUGUUGUUUUUUAUUGGUCGCCAUGAAAAAAACCAACCUGGUCUCACAGGAAUCUGUGAAAUGACUACGGACGAAUAACUCGAAAUCCGUGGACACAUCACGGAAACACGCCGAUUUCCGUGAUGUGGCCACGGAAUUCGCUCCAAUGCAAGUUAAUGACGCUGAUGUUCCGUGGCUCACACACGGAUCCCCGUUUCAACGAGCGAGUCGACCACGGGGGCUUAACUCAAAACCCGGGGUGGUCUCACUGAAACACUUAAAUUGUCCUUGUUGUGUCCACGGAAGUUGCUCCAAUGCAAGUAAAUGACAAUGAUAUUCCAUGGCACACACACAGAUUCCCGUUUCAAUCUGUGUGUGUGCUCCCGUUUCAAUCUGUGUGUGCUACAUUUGACCACAGUGGGGGCUUAACUCAAAAUCUGUGGUGGUCUGACGGAAUCACUUCAAUUGUCCGUGAUGUGGCCACGGAAUUUGCUCCAUUGCAAGUAAAUGACACUGUUAUUCCGUGGCUCACACACGAAUAUCGGCGUGUUUCCGUGAUGUGGCCACGGAUUUCAAGUUAAGCGUCCGACCGUAGUCAUUUCACGGAUUCCUGUGAGACCAUGUUGAAAAAAACAUAAGGGGUAACACUGUUGUUUUUUAUUGGUCGUCAUGAAAAAAAACAUAAGGGGUAACACUGUUGUUUUUUAUUGGUCGUCAUGAAUAAAACAUAAGGGGUAACACUGUUGUUUUUUGUCGUCAUGAACAAAAACAUAAGGGGUAACACUGUUGUUUUUUAUCGGCCGUCAUGAAAAAAAACAUAAGGGGUAACACUGUUGUUUUUUAUCGGUCGUCAUGAAAAAAAACAAAAGGGGGAAACACUGUGUUUUUUUAUCGGUCGUCAUGAAAAAAAACAUAAGGGGUAACACUGUUGUCCUGAUCAAAUAAAAUAUAAGGGGUAACACUGUUGUCCUGGUCAAAUAAAAUAUAAGGGGUAACACUGUUGUUUUUAUUGGUCGUCAUGAAAAAAAACAUAAGGGGUAACACUUGUUUUUUAUUGGUCGUCAUGAAUAAAACAUAAGGGAUAACACUGUUGUUUUUUGUCGUCAUGAACAAAAACAUAAGGCAACACUGUUGUUUUUUAUUGGUAGUCAUGAAAAAAACAUAAGGGGUAAUACUGUUGUUUUUUAUUGGUCGUCAUGAAUAAAACAUAAGGGGUAACAAGGUUGUUUUUUAUUGGUCGUCAUGAAAAAAACAUAAGGGGUAACACUGUUGUUUUUUAUUGGUCGUCAUGAAAAAAACAUAAGGGGUAACACUGUUGUUUUUUAUCGGCCGUCAUGAAAAAAAACAUAAGGGGUAACACUGUUGUUUUUUAUUGGUCGUCAAGAAAAAAACAUAAGGGGUAACACUGUCGUUUCGUGAUGUGGCCACGGAAUUUGCUCCAUUGCAAGUAAAUGACACUGUUAUUCCGUGGCUCACACACGAAUAUCGGCGUGUUUCCGUGAUGUGGCCACGGAUUUCAAGUUAAGCGUCCGACCGUAGUCAUUUCACGGAUUCCUGUGAGACCAUGUUGAAAAAAACAUAAGGGGUAACACUGUUGUUUUUUAUUGGUCGUCAUGAAAAAAAACAUAAGGGGUAACACUGUUGUUUUUUAUCGGUCGUCAUGAAAAAAAACAUAAGGGGUAACACUGUUGUUUUUUAUUGGUCGUCAAGAAAAAAACAUAAGGGGUAACACUGUCGUUUUUAUUGGUCGUCAUGAAUAAGGUAGUCAUGAAAAAAACACGACAAAACACGACAAAAAAAAAUGGAAAUAUGAUGGAAGACACAUAUUUCCAUUUCAUGCGAAUUAUAACUUCAAGUAUAACCAUUGUAACGACUUUAUUCAGUGUCGUGGUGGUGCAUUGAUUAGUUUGGAGGUUCACACUCUGAACAGCUCAGGUUCGGAUCCCCGCAAAAACGUCGAAAUAUUUUUUUUUUAUCGUUCGUCAUGAAAAAAAACAUUAGGAGUAACACUGUUGUUUUUUAUUGGUCGUCAUGAAAAAAAACAUAAGGGGUAACACUAUCGUUUUUAUUGGUCGUCAUGAAAAAAACAUAAGGGGUAACACUGUCGUUUUUAUUGGUCGUCAUGAAAAAAAACAUAAGGGGUAACACUUGUUUUUUAUUGGUCGUCAUGAAUAAAACAUAAGGGGAAACACUGUUAUUUUUAUCGUCAUGAACAAAAACAUAAGGGGUAACACUGUUGUUUUUUAUUGGUCGUCAUGAAAAAAACAUAAGGGGUAACACUGUUGUUUCUUAAUGGUCGUCAUGAAUAAAACAUAAGGGGUAACAAGGUUGUUUUUCAUUGGUCGUCAUGAAAAAAACAUAAGGGGUAACACUGUUGUUUUUUAUUGGUCGUCAUGAAAAAAAACAUAAGGGGUAACACUGUUGUUUUUAUUGGUCGUCAUGAAUAAAACAUAAGGGGUAACACUGUUGUUUUUUGUCGUCAUGAACAAAAACAUAAGGGGUAACACUGUUGUUUUUUAUCGGCCGUCAUGAAAAAAACAUAAGGGGGGUAACACUGUUGUUUUUUAUUGGUCGUCAUGAAAAAAACAUAAGGGGUAACACUGUCGUUUUUAUUGGUCGUCAUGAAAAAAAACAUAAGGGGUAACACUUGUUUUUUAUUGGUCGUCAUGAAUAAAACAUAAGGGGUAACACUGUUGUUUUUUGUCGUCAUGAACAAAAACAUAAGGGGUAACACUGUUGUUUUUUAUUGGUCGUCAUGAAUAAAACAUAAGGGGUAACACUGUUGUUUUUUGUCGUCAUGAACAAAAACAUAAGGGGUAACACUGUUGUUUUUCAUUGGUCGUCAUGAAAAAAACAUAAGGGGUAACACUGUUGUUUUUUAUUGGUCGUCAUGAAAAAAAACAUAAGGGGUAACACUGUUGUUUUUUAUUGGUCGUCAUGAAUAAAACAUAAGGGGUAACACUGUUGUUUUUUGUCGUCAUGAACAAAAACAUAAGGGGUAACACUGUUGUUUUUUAUCGGCCGUCAUGAAAAAAAACAUAAGGGGUAACACUGUUGUUUUUUAUCGGUCGUCAUGAAAAAAACACAAGGGGUAACACUGUCGUUUUUAUUGGUCGUCAUGAAAAAAAACAUAAGGGGUAACACUGUUGUUUUUUAUCGGUCGUCAUGAAAAAAACAUAAGGGGUAACACUGUCGUUUUUAUUGGUCGUCAUGAAAAAAAACAUAAGGGGGGUAACACUUGUUUUUUAUUGGUCGUCAUGAAUAAAACAUAAGGGGUAACACUGUUGUUUUUUGUCGUCAUGAACAAAAACAUAAGGGGUACCACUGUUGUUUUUUAUUGGUCGUCAUGAAAAAAAACAUAAGGGGUAACACUGUUGUUUUUUAUUGGUCGUCAUGAAUAAAACAUAAGGGGUAACACUGUUGUUUUUUGUCGUCAUGAAAAAAAACAUAAGGGGUAACACUGUUGUUUUUUAUCGGUCGUCAUGAAAAAAACAUAAGGGGUAACACUGUCGUUUUUAUUGGUCGUCAUGAAAAAAACAUAAGGGGGGUAACACUUGUUUUUUAUUGGUCGUCAUGAAUAAAACAUAAGGGGUAACACUGUUGUUUUUUGUCGUCAUGAACAAAAACAUAAGGGGUAACACUGUUGUUUUUUAUUGGUCGUCAUGAAAAAAAACAUAAGGGGUAACACUGUUGUUUUUAUUGGUCGUCAUGAAUAAAACAUAAGGGGUAACACUGUUGUUUUUUGUCGUCAUGAACAAAAACAUAAGGGGUAACACUGUUGUUUUUUAUCGGUCGUCAUGAAAAAAACAUAAGGGGUAACACUGUCGUUUUUAUUGGUCGUCAUGAAAAAAAACAUAAGGGGUAACACUUAUUUUUUAUUGGUCGUCAUGAAUAAAACAUAAGGGGUAACACUGUUGUUUUUUGUCGUCAUGAACAAAAACAUAAGGGGUAACACUGUUGUUUUUUAUUAAGCCGAGGCUUCCAGCCAUAGGACGUGACGGGACGGAGGCAGAACCACCCAUGGAACCACCCCCACGCGGAC